rnacentral:rRNA from 1 species
AUAGCUGGUUCUCCUCGAAAUAGCUUUAGGGCUAGCCUCAAGAUAGUGACGUGGAGGUAGAGCACUGAAUGGUCUAGGGGCACUUAGUGCUACCAAAACCUAUCAAACUCCGAAUGCCACAGUCAUGUUUCUUGGGAGUCAGACUGCGGGAGAUAAGUUUCGUAGUCGAGAGGGAAAGAGCCCAGACCACCAACUAAGGUCCCUAAAUCCAGAUUAAGUGGGAAAGGAUGUAAAGUUACACAGACAACCAGGAUGUUGGCUUAGAAGCAGCCAUUCAUUUAAAGAGUGCGUAAUAGCUCACUGGUCGAGUGGCUUUGCGCCGAAGAUUUCCGGGGCUAAAAUCUGGUACCGAAGUUGUGGAUUCGUAAGAAUGGUAGAGGAGCAUUCUGUACGGGCUGAAGCUACACCGUAAGGAGUGGUGGACUGUACAGAAGAGAGAAUGCUGGCAUGAGUAGCGAUAAGGCGAGUGAGAAUCUCGCCCGUCGAAAGCCUAAGGUUUCCUGAGGAAGGCUCGUCCUCUCAGGGUUAGUCGGGACCUAAGCCCAGGCCAAAUGGCGUAGGCGAUGGACAACAGGUUGAGAUUCCUGUACUGUUUACAUGCGUUUGAGAGAUGGGGUGACGCAGGAGGAUAGGCUAUACGUACUGUUGGUUAUGUACGUCCAAUCCUGUAGAGAGCUCCUAUAGGCAAAUCCGUAGGAGAGUCUCAAGAGGUGAUGGGGAGCGAAAAAUAAGUAGUGAAGUAGCUGAAUCCAUACUGCCAAGAAAAGCCUCUAUCGAGUAUGUAAAUACCCGUACCGCAAACCAACACAGGUAGGCGAGGAGAAAAUCCUAAGACGUUCGGAAGAACCCUUGUUAAGGAACUAGGCAAAAUAACCCCGUAACUUCGGGAGAAGGGGUGCCGACUAAGGUGAAGCACUUGCUGCGUAAGCUUUAGUUGGCCGCAGUGAAUAGGCCCAAGCGACUGUUUACCAAAAACAUAGGUCUCUGCUAAGUCGAAAGACGAUGUAUAGGGGCUGACACCUGCCCGGUGCUGGAAGGUUAAGGGGAAGAGUUAGCGUAUGCGAAGCUCAGAACUUAAGCCCCAGUAAACGGCGGCCGUAACUAUAACGGUCCUAAGGUAGCGAAAUUCCUUGUCGGGUAAGUUCCGACCCGCACGAAAGGUGUAACGACUUGGGCACUGUCUCAACAAGGGAUCCGGUGAAAUUGUAGUACUCGUGAAGAUGCGAGUUACCCGCGACAGGACGGAAAGACCCCGUGGAGCUUUACUGUAGGCUGACAUUGGAUUUCGGUAUUGCUUGUACAGCAUAGGUGGGAGACUAAGAUACCAGGGCGCUAGCUUUGGUGGAGUCAUCAUUGGGAUACCACUCUUGCAAUGCUGAAGUUCUAACCAGAG